rnacentral:rRNA from 1 species
UACGGGGGGAGCAAGCGUUGUUCGGAUUUACUGGGCGUAAAGGGCGCGUAGGCGGCCACCGCAAGUCAAUUGUGAAAUCUCCGGGCUUAACUCGGAAAGGUCAACUGAUACUGCGGGGCUAGAGUGCGGAAGGGGCAACUGGAAUUCUCGGUGUAGCGGUGAAAUGCGUAGAUAUCUGGAGGAACACCGGUGGCGAAGGCGGCAUCCUGGACCAUUACUGACACUGAAUAGCGAAAGCCAGGGGAGCAAACGGG